UACGGAGGCCCCGAGCGUUUGUUCGGAUUUAUUGGGCGUAAAGAGCUCGUAGGCGGUUUGUCGCGUCUGCUGUGAAAACUCGGGGCUUAACUCCGGGCUUGCAGUGGGUACGGGCAGACUAGAGUGCGGUAGGGGAGACUGGAAUUCCUGGUGUAGCGGUGAAAUGCGCAGAUAUCAGGAGGAACACCGGUGGCGAAGGCGGGUCUCUGGGCCGUAACUGACGCUGAGGAGCGAAAGCGUGGGGAGCGAACAGG
rnacentral:rRNA from 1 species